GGAUGUGAGGAGCGCCUCUGCUGGGCCGCAACCCUGUCUGGGAGGUGAGGAGCGUCUCUGCCCGGCUGCCCCGUCUGAGAAGUGAGGAAACCCUCUGCCUAGCAACCGCCCCGUCUGAGAAGUGAGGAGCCCCUCCGUCCGGCAGCCACCCCGUCUGGGAAGUGAGGAGCCCCUCCGCCUGGCAGCCACCCCGUCUGGAAAUGUUGUGGCCAUGUGUGUUGGUGAUACCUGGAGUUCAGCAAGCCAUCUUGCCACCGUGAGAGGAGUUGGCCAAUGGCCCAGAUGAUACACCAAAGAUGGCAGAGGGGAGAGAUGAAAAGGAAUCUGGAUCUUCUACGUGAAUGAGUCACUAAAUUAACCAACUCUGGGGGUGGGCGCAGUGGCUCACACCUGUAAUCCCAGCACUUUGGGAGGCCAAAGCAAGUUGGACUGCUUGUGUCCAGGAGUUCAAGACCAGCCUCGGCAACAUAGCGAAACCCCGUUUCUACAAAAACUACAAAAUUAGCAGGGCGUGCUGGUAUGUGCAUGUGGUCCCAGCUACUGGGGAGGCUGAGGUGGGAGGAUCACUUGAGCUCAGGAGGUUGAGGCUGCAGUGAGCCAAGAUCUCACCACUCCACUCCAGCCUGGGUGACAGAAACAAACUCUGUCUCAAAAAAAAAAAAAAAAAAAUUAACCAACUCUGGAACUCUCUACCUUUAAUCCUGACAUUUAUGUGGGACCAUAAAUUUCUUUAUUAUUUACACUUUUGAAUUUUCUAUGCUUGUAGCCAAAAGCAUUCUAAGGACGUAUUAAAGAUGAAAGCUAAACAGGAACCAAAGCAGAGGACCCAAGUCUCACACAUUUUCCCAUUGGAUAAUGCCAACAAUGCAGAAACCUCAUUGGUCUAUUUGUUAUGAGGUCUCCUGAUCUAUUGUAUUAUUUCUGUAGUGUUGGUCCUGGGAGGUAAUUUCUAGGAAAAGGGACCCUUGGAAAAUUGAGUUUGAUUUUAAGAAAAAAAAGUGGGGGAAGUACUGGAAAAGAGGGAGAAACACAGUUAAUAGAGUGACAAUUGCCUAGAUAGUUGCUGCUGGAAGGAUAGUGAAAAAUGAUAAUGAUAUUUGGGAGUGGCCUUUGAAGCAUGACAGUCUGAUGUAGUGAGAGGGCAUGACAGAAAAAAAAGCCAGCCAGUGUGGCUGUAAGAGCCAGGGAACUUUUCUUUUUUUUUCUCUUUGAGAUGGAGUUUCCCUCUCGUUGUCCAGGCUGGAGUGCAAUGGUGCAAUCUUG
rnacentral:lncRNA from 10 species